GGGGAGGAGCCCAGAGCCUGAAUCAGUGUGUGUGUUAGUGGAAGCGUCUGGAAAGGCGCGCGAUACAGGGUGACAGCCCCGUACACAAAAAUGCACAUGCUGUGAGCUCGAUGAGUAGGGCGGGACACGUGGUAUCCUGUCUGAAUAUGGGGGGACCAUCCUCCAAGGCUAAAUACUCCUGACUGACCGAUAGUGAACCAGUACCGUGAGGGAAAGGCGAAAAGAACCCCGGCGAGGGGAGUGAAAAAGAACCUGAAACCGUGUACGUACAAGCAGUGGGAGCACAGAGCAAUCUGUGUGACUGCGUACCUUUUGUAUAAUGGGUCAGCGACUUAUAUUCUGUAGCAAGGUUAACCGAAUAGGGGAGCCGAAGGGAAACCGAGUCUUAACUGGGCGUUAAGUUGCAGGGUAUAGACCCGAAACCCGGUGAUCUAGCCAUGGGCAGGUUGAAGGUUGGGUAACACUAACUGGAGGACCGAACCGACUAAUGUUGAAAAAUUAGCGGAUGACUUGUGGCUGGGGGUGAAAGGCCAAUCAAACCGGGAGAUAGCUGGUUCUCCCCGAAAGCUAUUUAGGUAGCGCCUCGUGAAUUCAUCUCCGGGGGUAGAGCACUGUUUCGGCAAGGGGGUCAUCCCGACUUACCAACCCGAUGCAAACUGCGAAUACCGGAGAAUGUUAUCACGGGAGACACACGGCGGGUGCUAACGUCCGUCGUGAAGAGGGAAACAACCCAGACCGCCAGCUAAGGUCCCAAAGUCAUGGUUAAGUGGGAAACGAUGUGGGAAGGCCCAGACAGCCAGGAUGUUGGCUUAGAAGCAGCCAUCAUUUAAAGAAAGCGUAAUAGCUCACUGGUCGAGUCGGCCUGCGCGGAAGAUGUAACGGGGCUAAACCAUGCACCGAAGCUGCGGCAGCGACACUAUGUGUUGUUGGGUAGGGGAGCGUUCUGUAAGCCUGUGAAGGUGUGCUGUGAGGCAUGCUGGAGGUAUCAGAAGUGCGAAUGCUGACAUAAGUAACGAUAAAGCGGGUGAAAAGCCCGCUCGCCGGAAGACCAAGGGUUCCUGUCCAACGUUAAUCGGGGCAGGGUGAGUCGACCCCUAAGGCGAGGCCGAAAGGCGUAGUCGAUGGGAAACAGGUUAAUAUUCCUGUACUUGGUGUUACUGCGAAGGGGGGACGGAGAAGGCUAUGUUGGCCGGGCGACGGUUGUCCCGGUUUAAGCGUGUAGGCUGGUUUUCCAGGCAAAUCCGGAAAAUCAAGGCUGAGGCGUGAUGACGAGGCACUACGGUGCUGAAGCAACAAAUGCCCUGCUUCCAGGAAAAGCCUCUAAGCAUCAGGUAACAUCAAAUCGUACCCCAAACCGACACAGGUGGUCAGGUAGAGAAUACCAAGGCGCUUGAGAGAACUCGGGUGAAGGAACUAGGCAAAAUGGUGCCGUAACUUCGGGAGAAGGCACGCUGAUAUGUAGGUGAAGCGACUUGCUCGUGGAGCUGAAAUCAGUCGAAGAUACCAGCUGGCUGCAACUGUUUAUUAAAAACACAGCACUGUGCAAACACGAAAGUGGACGUAUACGGUGUGACGCCUGCCCGGUGCCGGAAGGUUAAUUGAUGGGGUCAGCGCAAGCGAAGCUCUUGAUCGAAGCCCCGGUAAACGGCGGCCGUAACUAUAACGGUCCUAAGGUAGCGAAAUUCCUUGUCGGGUAAGUUCCGACCUGCACGAAUGGCGUAAUGAUGGCCAGGCUGUCUCCACCCGAGACUCAGUGAAAUUGAACUCGCUGUGAAGAUGCAGUGUACCCGCGGCAAGACGGAAAGACCCCGUGAACCUUUACUAUAGCUUGACACUGAACAUUGAGCCUUGAUGUGUAGGAUAGGUGGGAGGCUUUGAAGUGUGGACGCCAGUCUGCAUGGAGCCGACCUUGAAAUACCACCCUUUAAUGUUUGAUGUUCUAACGUUGACCCGUAAUCCGGGUUGCGGACAGUGUCUGGUGGGUAGUUUGACUGGGGCGGUCUCCUCCUAAAGAGUAACGGAGGAGCACGAAGGUUGGCUAAUCCUGGUCGGACAUCAGGAGGUUAGUGCAAUGGCAUAAGCCAGCUUGACUGCGAGCGUGACGGCGCGAGCAGGUGCGAAAGCAGGUCAUAGUGAUCCGGUGGUUCUGAAUGGAAGGGCCAUCGCUCAACGGAUAAAAGGUACUCCGGGGAUAACAGGCUGAUACCGCCCAAGAGUUCAUAUCGACGGCGGUGUUUGGCACCUCGAUGUCGGCUCAUCACAUCCUGGGGCUGAAGUAGGUCCCAAGGGUAUGGCUGUUCGCCAUUUAAAGUGGUACGCGAGCUGGGUUUAGAACGUCGUGAGACAGUUCGGUCCCUAUCUGCCGUGGGCGCUGGAGAACUGAGGGGGGCUGCUCCUAGUACGAGAGGACCGGAGUGGACGCAUCACUGGUGUUCGGGUUGUCAUGCCAAUGGCACUGCCCGGUAGCUAAAUGCGGAAGAGAUAAGUGCUGAAAGCAUCUAAGCACGAAACUUGCCCCGAGAUGAGUUCUCCCUGACUCCUUGAGAGUCCUGAAGGAACGUUGAAGACGACGACGUUGAUAGGCCGGGUGUGUAAGCGCAGCGAUGCGUUGAGCUAACCGGUACUAAUGAACCGUGAGG
rnacentral:rRNA from 1 species